rnacentral:lncRNA from 1 species
AAAAUUCACAAAAAUGUGAAGGUCAAGUCAAUCUAUCCAAAAACUUAAAAAGUAAACUGUGAAAGGAAAACAUGCAGUUAUUCUAAUUUUAUUUCAAGAUUCGAAACACUGUAGAAAGCAAAUAAAAUUCAGAAAAAAAAUUUACAGAUACAUUUUUAAAUUAAAAAGUACCAGAGAGAGGUGGAAAGGAAGUGGAAGAACAGAGAUGGAGAUCGAUAUUGGUGGAUGGAGAUAUAAGGUUCAAUGUUUACCCCCAAAUCAUUUAUAAAAAAUUAAGAAAAAAGAAAAAGAAAUACAUACUGCUCGUGCUCCUCCUUUUUAAACUCUUUGAGAGUUAGCUUGCUGAAAUCAACAGUUUUCAAUCAAGAUCAACAAUCAAUCAAGGUUUUCUUCAAGCGAUUAUCUCACGAAAUUUUUAAAUUUGAAAGUGUAGCAUUACUGAGAGAAAUAGGUUUUAGUGUAAAAGAAAUCUCUAUUUGGUAGGCCCUCUCUAAAUCCAGUUCCUUAUAGCCUUGCAAAUGAGUUGUGGAGAUAAUUUUAGUGAAAAUUGGAAAGAUUAUGUAGUAUGCUCUUCAGAGAAGGAAAUCAGUGCAUGUAUAACAAAGUUCAAACCAACCACAUAUUAUGCAUGUAUUUAGUUCACAAAAGAAAUCAGUGCUGAUAUUGUUUACCAAGAUAUAAAACUGUGUACUUGCCCUCUAUCAGAUAAAGGCACUCAAAAUCAAAAGAUGAUGGUGAAUUGGUGAAGCAGAUGCUAAGAUUAGCAAUUGGAUUAGCUUUUGUUCUACAAUUGGUGAUGCAGGAAAA